UCGGAACUAUCCGUGCUUUAUUGCAGGCCACAGAGUUUGAUUUAAUGCAGUUCUGAAAAUUUCAUUCUUGGCUUUACAUCUGCAUACCACCAGGAGGAGCUUCUGCAAUUUCAUCUUGAUUGAACAAAGUCACCUUUGAGUCCGUAUUUCAGAUAAUCAGCCAACCUGUUGGGAUCCUUCACAGUUAUUUCAUUCUCUGAUUACCAGGAUGCCAUCUGCCAUUGGCAAGGAGAUUAUAGCUAUGUUCAAAGUUAAAGAGGCGUUACGAGUUGCUUUCUUGGUUGCUUCUUUAACGGUUUGUGUAAUUGCUUUCACUCACGGAGGCCCAAUUGGUGGGUUCAUGUUCAGCCUAAUGUGGAAGGCGGUGUGGAUGAACGAUGACUUCUGGCUGCACAAUGUAAUGGGCAGUCUGUCCAGCUCCAGAGGCAUCUGAGUAUGUGACUGUGGCUCAAGUGAGUUCUUUUUUGCCCUGGAGACUCAAUGAUUUUAUGUCUGGUGGUUCAUAAGUUACAAGAUAUCUGGAAUUAGGUGGGAGACCAUGAUGGUGACAUUUAGAAGAAUCUGAGUAGGGAUGAGUGAUGCCCGAUUGUGUUUUUCUGCUUGGUAGCAGCUUAGAGUUCUGAAGAGUCUGGGUUGUGCAAUGAGAAGUUUGUGUGCUUAGUGAAAUGUUGUCCAAUUGGCCAAUCCUCUAGGUCUUGGGAAAUGUCCUAGAAGUUUGGCAAGAAGUUGUUCUCAAGAGAGCACAAAUGCUGCCAAUUUCCAAUUGGCCAAGACACAUUACAAGGACCACCUUCUCUCCAAGCAACCUGGCAUUUCUAUUCCAAUUGGAAUUUGCAAUGUGAAGAUGCACAGGGGAAGAAGAUUAAACAAACCUUUUCAGAUUUCUGGUCCAGGUGAAUCUUUCAUCUUAUCUACCCUGUUCCAAUCUUUUUUUGAUCACUGACCAUUUUGAAUAUUAGGGAAUAGUGAGCACGUUACAGGUUAGUUUUGAGAACUGAUAAACAUCCAGGGGGAAAAGCAGGAUGAGUGAACCCAGAUCUAUUUUUAUACAUAUAUACAAAGCAUUGAGCCUGACUGUAUGGUUCAAAUUGUUGCUAAUAACAUUAGAUCUGCUGUGUGAGGCAACCUGCCUGUCAUAUUGGCCCUUGCUCAAGUGGCUCCCACCCCUGAUGCAUAUUUGGGAAAUGGUGACAGCUGUGCUCUUUGCCUGGCUGCUUCCACUUAUGAAAACAUGGGGGUAAAUGGCAGUCACCCCCACAGGCCCCUUUACUGUGAAUCUUCUUUUCUAGCUACAGCCAAGAGUAAAAGCCCCCUGCAGAAUUGAAUAACAGUCAUUCAGAGCCUACCUCAAAGAGGACUAAUUUGCUUUAUACAACAAAGAUCUCAGGAAAUUUAAAAAAAAAGAAUAUAUUUCCUUUAUUGGAAUUUAUAAAUAUUUUUGUGUUUUUAAAAGAACUCUCAUUAUGCUAUUUUAACUCAGCCACUGGUGGUAGUUCAGGUAAGCAAGACAAAAAUAGUCAAUUAUACCAAGUGGAAUUUCCCUCCUGAAGUUUAUUUCCUGGGUGUGGCUGGGGAAGGAUUAGAAAGAUUGGAACCCACCAUAUGCCCCUUUGGCAAAUCCAGCCUCAUUCUACCUUUUAUGCAUGGUCAACAGUGUCACCUCUGAAAACAAAGUCUAGUGGCCAAUUAGCUGAUACGGUUCCUUCAGAGUGGGUUAAUUCAUCCUCAUUGGUAGAAUGUGCUUCUGGGGUUUUGCUCAUUCUUUGUCUUCCCUGCCAUAUGCACACAGCAUAGAGGGGAGCCAAGGAGACUUUAGAGCAAGCCUACCACAUUCCCCAGGUCUGUCCAUGUUCCUAUGAUCUGAAAGCUGUCCUUUGAAAACUUCCUCUGAUUCUAUUUUCCACUCACUGCUAGAUUCUCAUUUCUGUAAAUCCCUCGGCCACAAAAAUGUCCAGUUAAAGGAGCUUAAGUGGGUGAAAAUGGCUAUCAGAUGACUGGAGAGGGAAGUAGAGGUUUUGUGUGUUGCUCCUAGCAAGUGUCCUUAC